rnacentral:rRNA from 1 species
GCCAGCCCGCUCAGAACUUAAAGGAAGUUGACGGGGCCGGCACAAGCGAGGAGCAUGUGGUUAAUUCGAUGAUACGCGAGGAACUUACCUGGGCUCGAACGUAAGAUGACUGUAGGUGAAAGCUUACAUCUCUUCGGAGCAUUUUACGAGGUGCUGCAUGGUUGUCGUCAGCUCGUGCCGUGAGGUGUCGGGUUAAGUCCCAUAACGAGCGCAACCCCUACCUUUAGUUGCCAUCAGGUAAUGCUGGGGACUCUAAAGGAACUGCCUACGCAAGUAGUGAGGAAGGCGGGGAUGACGUCAAAUCAGCACGGCCCUUACGUCCAGGGCUACACACGUGCUACAAUGGCCGAUACAGAGGGCAGCUACCUGGUGACAGGAUGCAAAUCUCCAAAGUCGGUCUCAGUUCGGAUCGGAGUCUGCAACCCGACUCCGUGAAGUUGGAUUCGCUAGUAAUCGCGCAUCAGCCAUGGCGCGGUGAAUACGUUCCCGGGCCUU